CACAUAUUUUUUUCUUUCAUGUUUAAUUUAUUAUACUUUAAAUUUAGUCCACAAACAUUUUACCUUAACUCCUAAGUCUUCUACAGGCACACUUAUAAAAUAUCUAUACACACACAACACUUAAAUUGGGAGAUAUUAGAUAUUUUAAAAGGGUCUCAAAAACAGUAUUUUAUCUCUCAUUCUCCAAAAAAUGAAGUGACCACCCACUCACACCUUCAGCUCCCUCUCUGUUGGCGAUUUCGGGCCGCUUGUUGCCGCUAUCGGAUUUCAUCACCGGCCACGCGGCGACGCCCUCCUGUCUCUCUCAUCUACCAGCCCCCUAUUCUCUCAUUUCUCUCGUCACCGCUGCUUCGGUGGAACCACGACAGAAAUGGCCAGAUCUGACUGGCUAAACUAAUGCCAGUGUGCCACUGCCUCAUAAUUAAAAUUCUCUCUUAUUAGCCAGAAGAAGCAGACCUGGCGGGGGUUUUACUUUUUUAGGCAGCCUCCAUGUUUCGCCCUUCCUGACUGGAUGGAAAUGGAGCUUUGCCAGCGACUUUUCUUAGGUUUAUGAUGUCUUUCCAGCAUUCACCGUGGAAGCGACGUCCAUAGAGGCAAAAAUCCGCUGGAAUUUUCGGAUCUGGCCUAAGUGUGUCAACUACGGCGACUCCCUUUAUUCUCGUUCUUUUUACUGAUUUUUGGGGGUUUUGAUAUUAUAAAUUAGAUCUGAAAAUGGUUGUUUUAUUUGGCCGGAUUUUGUAUUACAGUACUUUUGCUGCUGCAUUUAAUUUGAAUGGUUUUAUUUGGAUGUUAGCUCCAGGUUCUCGUCAGAGCUGUUGGCUGGCAAAAAAUAUUCCCGGCGAUUCCGUUCAUUUUGACCACUGUCCAGUUGCUUAACCCUUCACUGUUGUUGCUAUUCCGAUAAGGGAAAUUUAGACACUUGGGGCUGCUUGACCACUGUCCAGUUGCUUAACCCUUUAAGACCUUAGUUGUUUACUGUUGAAAUAAGUAUUUGUUAUGAACUUGCGCUACCUGCAGCUUCGAUUUCCAGUGAUUUGUGCUACAUUGUUGUGUCUAUUAACACUGUCUUUGCUAGAUGUAGUGCUGGACAUAUAAUUAAUUUGAUUAGGUAUAUUCGCGGAGGCCGAUGUGAAUGAGGUCACGGCACCUCGAAAUGACCCUCCGGACUUGGCCCGAAAUAACGAGACGAUGAUGAUAAACAUCGGAAAAGAAGAAGACAGAGAACGCGACGAACCAACAACAUUUGGAGGGCGACACUUCGGGCGUUUUCCAAAAACCAUUUUCGGGCGUUUUCCAAAAACCAUUUUCUAAAAGAAAUAUUCUUAAACCAUUUUCAAAAACGAUCCUCCAAAAAACGUUUUCAAAUAAAAGUGAUUUCAAAUUAUAUUAAUUUGUUUACUUUGUAUUAUUUUACUAACACAUUUUCCUCUAUCUUUCCGAGGUACCUUACUUGAAGCAUUUUGAAGAAUAAAACUCGGAGAAAAAUACAUAUCCCCGACUCGCCCCGCUUCGCACUUUCUGUUCUAGGAUGUAUUCAAAAUCGCAAGUAUAGUUGUAACGACCCGAUCGAUCAUUUUGAGAAUUUGCACUUCACUUGAUGGUUAAAAAGCAUGAAUAGCUCCAUAUGAUGUAUUACGACUCGCAUGUAUUGUCGGUUUCGAUUUUCACUUGUUUCGGAAUUAGUUGGAAGAAUGAAUUUCAUGAUUGAAACUUAAGGAAGAAUUGACCAAGUUUGACUUUUGUGCAUUUGAUCCUGGAGUGGAAUUUUAAUGGUUCUAUUAGGUCUAGAUUGUGAUUUUUGACUUGGGUGUAUGACCAGAUAAUCAUUUGGAUAUUUCUAGAAGCUUUCCGCACUAAUUGGCGAAAGUUAGAUAUUUGAAGGUUUGGAAUGUUGAUAAGUUUGACCAAGAGUUGACUUUGGAAUAUCAUUGAGGACUUGUGUACAAAAAUUGAGUUUAUUCCAGGAUGAUUUGAUAUGGUUCGACACGAGUUUUAAAAGUUGAAAAAUUCAAAGUUCAUUAAGUUUGAUUUGAGGUACGAUUCAUGAUUUUGAUGUUGUUAGGUGUGAUUUGACGCCUCAAAUAGGUCUGUGUUAUGUUACGCGACUUGUUGAUAUAUUCGGACAGGGUCCCGAGUGGCUCGGGUGAGUUUUAAACAAGUUUGGGCAUUUCGGCACGUUGAUUAUGUUCUGGAGCAAUUGAAAUGUGGCAGGUAUAUUUUGGAGUGCUCAGGCUUAUCUGCGAACGUAAACUCCCAGAGUGCGGAGGCAGUAAAAAAUAUGCGGACCACAGUGGAAAAUGUGCUGAUCGUAGUGGUAAAAGUGCGGACCGCAUCACGGGGAAAUCCACAAGUUUGAUGGUGUGAUUUCGGAAGCUUAUAUCUUUUAAUCUGUUAGGAAUUUGGGAUAAUAAAAAAAGACUGUUGUAGCCAUUUGAGUCUAGUUUUUAGAACAUCAAACGGUUUAUCAUUUGGACCUUUGUACUGAUAGUUAUGAUCAAUUUACUGAAGACUGGUAGUGUAGUUGCUGCUGAAGUGCGACCGCACAAUUUGGAUAGUGGCUGCGAAACUUGGAAGUGUGGACCACUUAAAAAAAGUGCAGUCAGCACUUUGGGAUAUCAGAUGUGGUACCGUAAACAUGAGGGUUUCAACUCAUUUUUCAUUUUUUGACCUAGAGAGCUUGGUUUGUGGCGAUUUUUCAUGGGUUUUUCAAGAAAUUCAUCGGAGUAAGUGAUUCUAGCUCGAUUUUGGAUACAUUACAACUAUCUAUUAUUAUUUUUUUAUUAUUUAAUUAAUGAUUUGAGUUGGAAAUUUGGGGGAAAAUUGUGAAUCUUAAACUAAAUUUUGGGGAUUGAAGGUUGAGUUGAAAUCGGAUUUGAGUAAUUUUUGUAUGCUUGGACUCGUGGUUGAAUGUGUAUUCUGAUUUUAUUAUUUUUGUCGAAUUCCAAAAUGUGGGCCUUGGUUGACUUUUUUAUUUUUGUUAAAGAACUUAGUUUUAUCAUUUAAAAUUGUUUCCUUAGGCAUUAUUUUAUGUUUUUAGUUGCUUUUGGUUAGUUUCGAGCCGUUCGAAUAUUGGUACGCGCGGAAUGACAUUUUUAGAAUAUUGGUUGGUUUGCUCGAUAUUGAAUUUGGCUUGUUUGAGGUACGAAUCCUAUCUAAACUUGGUUGGGGCACUUUCCUGAAUUAUUUGUGAUAGCUAUGCGCUAUGGACGAAUAUAUGUGUGAGGUUUGAGCCCAUGUGUGAGUACCGGGGUAUAUAUUCAUGCUCGGGCUAAUGCUUAGACUAUGAUAUGCCUAGAGUUGAUUGUUAAGCUUAAAGCUAUAAUGUUUAUUGUAUUUCUACAAUUGUUGUGAAUUAUCUCAGCCAUACUUGAGGUUACGAAGAGGCUAAUUCUUUGAAUAAACUUGAUAGUUAUUAAUUCUCUGAUAACUUGCCGAUUUGAGAUAUGAUAGCACACUUUGCACAUGUUUACACUAUAACAUGUCAUUUAUACCAGUCCAGGAACAUGAGAAUCUUAUUUCAUUUAUCAUAUACAUAUAUACUUGUUUAAUUGCUCAUGUGUGAUAUGCUUGGGCUGGAGGUCUAUGACGAUGCCGGACGUAUUAUGUUAUUGGCAUGUGAAUUGUAUGUGCAACACGUGAGUUAUCCAUGUGGAUCCAGAUAUUUAUACUAUUAGCACAUGAGUUGUUCGUGCAUCACGUGAGUUCUGCGUGCAGAUCCAAAUAUUUAUGUUAUUAGCACGUGAGUUGUCCCUACAACACGUGAAUUAUUCGUGCGAAUUUAGAUAUUGAUAUUAUAGCACGUGAGUUGACCGUGAAGCACGUGAGUUGUCCAUGCAGCAUGUGGAUACAGAUCAAUCCCCUUAGGAUCACCCUCUCAUGUUUCACUUUUGAUGGUGUGCAUGUGGAUUAUGAGAAACCGACGGGUUUUUGGUUGAUCUGAGCUCCAAGAGAGCUGGUUAUUAUUAUUUGGAUCGGGUAGCUCACCACAACAGACUGAUAUUUAAUUGUUGCGUUUCAUCUUCACUUGCAAUUUCCAUGAUUGUUUACCUGAUUUACUUGCAUAUCUUCCUUAUAUGCUGGAUUGUUGACAGAGUUGAAUACUUGAAAACAAGGAAUUCUGAGUAUCAAAUUGGUUUUAUCUAAGAUUUUAUGAUUUGAUCAUAUAUUUGUUCUAUACUUGUCGAAAUUAUGAACUACACAGGUGUUAGUGAGUAUCAUCUAUAGUUCUUGCUUCUUUUACCUCGCCGAGGUUAGUUAGGAUACUUAUUGAGUACAUAAAGUCGGUUGUACUUGUACUACACUUCUGCACCUUGCGUGCAGAUAUUUGUAUUGAUACUGCUAUGUAUGGCGGGAGCUAUCAUUGAAGAUGUAUCUGUAUUCCAAUUAUGGCUAUCACUUCUCCUUGGUAGCUUUAGAUUUGGAUUAUGUUCAUUUACAUUUUAAAAUAGAUGUUGUAAUUAUUUCAAUUCAGUUUUGAAACUCUAACUCUUAGAACCUAAUUAUUUAUAUUAUCACUCUUUGCGAGUUGAAAAAAAGAUUUCAGUCAAUUCCUUCUUGACUCUUAUCAUUAUCACUAUAUUACAUUUUAUUGUUAUCUGGGUUACCUAGCGUGUUGGGUAAGGCGCCAUCAUGACGGUUGGAUUUUGGGUUAUGACAAGUUGAUAUCAAAGCUCUAUGUUCAUAGGUUGUACAAUUCAUAAGUAAGUGUCUAUUAGAGUAUUGCGAAUCAGUAUGAUGACGUCCAUACCUAUCUUCGAGAGCUACAGGGCAUUUAGGAUAAAUUUCCCAUCUGUCUUUCCUUAUCAUGCGACAUUGAUUCGGCUUGAAGUGUAUCUCUUUGAAUUACUUCCACUCACUCGUACGCGGAUGUGAGCUCCUGGUAUCAGUUGUGCAUUGAUGGGUUGUGAUUCCAUAGAUAAAGUGCAGGAUGUAUUUUUUUUAUGUGCUGAUGAUUGGCCAAUCUAGAAGAUUUGAGGCCGGGUUUGACUAUAGCUUUAGCAUGGUAAUUUUAGUUAUGUGAGCAUGUGCUUUUGGACUUCUAUGCCCAGUGGUGUCCUUAUGAGUGGAACUGGUGGCUCAGUGAGUGGUUAUAGGGAUAUAUGAUGAGUAGGAUAUGACUGCGGUAUAUAUUGAGAUGGUUUGAAUGUGACGGAAAGAGUUUACUUGAUAUGUAAAAAGUACUAUUGGGUGCUUGAUUUUUGUCUUGAUUUGACGUAUAAUCUCAAGUUAUGAGUGUGUUGAAAGAUCUUUUACGUUAUUUAAUUGUGGAACGUAUUAGAUUCUCAUGUCUUGUUGAUGAGUUCAGACUCAGGAAGACUAAGUGAUUGUGUAGUAGUUGUGCCUGUGAAAGGAUAUAGAAAGAUGCUAAUUUGAGGCUAAGAAUGUGGGUUAUCUCUUGCGGAGUAGUCUACGGAGGAGUGAUCUUAUAAUGUUGUGUGGAGGCUUUCUUUCUCUACCAACGGGUUUAUAUGUGUUGAGAUUUGAGUUUGGAUUGGUUGAGAAAGUUGACCUAACUGUCACGAGAAUGAGUGCGAGAUUAGUAGAUGAUUUGAUGUAUUUUAUGGGUAAUGUUGCCUGAGCUUGUGAAGAAUUUAGUUGAAUCUCACUGCGGGGUUAUGGCAUUAAUAAAGUAUAGGUAUGGUGAGCUAUCAUAUAUUUUAUUCUAUGACUUUGAUCUAAGCGGGGGAGACUGCUAUUGAUGCUUUGAUUACUUGGUUUUGUGUUAAAUAUUAGUUAUGGGUCUGAGGCAUACAUGUGGAUCAGUUAUGACUUGCAGAGGCUGAUUUUGAGGAUAACUUAAGCAAAGAAUUUUUUGGAAGCAUGGUGAGUUGUCCGUGUAACAUGUGAGUUGUUUAUGCCGAUCUAGAUAUUUAUAUUAUAGCACAUGAGUUAUCCGUGCAACACAUGAGUUGUCCGUGCAGCAUGUGGUUACGGAUAUAUUCCCUAGAGUCACUCUCUCAUGUUUCACUUUUGAUGGUGUACAUGUGGAUUGUGAGAAACCGACGAGUUUCUGGUUGAUGUGAGCUAUGGGAGAGCUGGUUGCUGUUAUUUGGAUCGGUUAGCGCGCCACAACGGUUAGAUAUUUGGUUGUUGCAUUUCAUCUUCACUUGCAAAUUUCCUUGAUUGUUUACCUGAUUUACUUGCAUAUCUUCCUUGUAUGCUGGAUUGUUGACUGAGUAGAAUAUUUUAAAACAAAGAAUUGUGAGUAUCAAAGUGGUUUUAUCUGAGAUUCCCUGAUUUGAUCAUAUAUUUGUUCUACACUUGUCGAAAUUAUGAACUGUACAGGUGUUACUGAGUAUCAUCUAUAGUUCUUGCUUCUUUUACCUCGCCGAGGUUAGUUAGGAUACUUAUUGAGCACAUGGGGUCGGUUGUACUCAUACUACACUUGUGCACCUUGCAUGCAGAUCUUGGUGUUGAUGCUGUUGUGUAUGGCGGGAGUGGCAUUGAAGACGUACAUGCAUGCUAGUUAUGGCUAUCACUUGUCCUUGAUAGUUUUAGAUUUGGAUUAUAUUCAUUUACAUUUCAAACAGAUGUUGUAAUUUAUUCAAUUCAGUUUUGAAACUCUAACUGUUAGAAGCUAAUGAUUUGUACUACGAGUCUUUAAAAAUUAAAAAAAAAAAAUUCCAGUUAAUUCCUUCUUGACUCUUAUCAUUAUCACUAUAUUGCAUUUUAUUGUUAUUUUGCUUAUCUAGUAUGUUGGAUUAGGUGUCAUUACGACGGGGUUAAAUUUUGGAUCGUGACAAUAGUAAAACAUAGAUAUAUGUCGUGUUAUUUGUUCACUAUGUUGUUUAUCUAUUUGUUACACUUGGGGUGUAUUGCAGAUAGUUAAUAAUCCUGUUAGCCUAUAACGUUAUGUGUCAAAUACUUCUUACAAGGUUGUAUAUACAAAUUUAGAAUGUCAAAUAUAUAUUUUAUAACUUAAUCGAUCAUUUAGGAUUGGGAUAGAAAUACUUAAUUGAAUGAGAUGCCUACAUGAAUAAAUGAAAGGCAUGCCAUUUCCUUUUCAAAAUAGAUAACCUUACCCUUUUACAACUACAUUAGCAUGAUUUUUCUUUUUUGACCAAUCUCUUUUUAAUUUUUUUUUAAUUUUUACUUCAAGUAGACAUAACUUGUAAAAUUCAUAAUUGAAUCUACCAUAUUAGGAUUAAUUCAAUUGUUGCAUACAUAUUGGGUCUAACUUGAUAGUUACCAACAUUCUUCGUGGGCUUUUAUGAUAUUUUUGUACAGGGUUGGUAAUAUUCUUAACCUCUUUAUAUAUUUGAUUGUCUACAUAUGUCCUUUCAUAAUUUAUUACCCAUUCGUUUAUUUAAAUUCUUUUGAACUAAAUCAAAGGUCAUUCUUAUAUGAUUUUAAUUGUUUUUAUCAUAAAAUCAAUAUCCAUUAUACUCAUACACUAUUGACAAACAUUUUUACACUUUAUUCUUUACACAUUUUAGUUAAAUGCAAAGCACUUAUGCAUUUUUUGAAGAUAAUUCUUUCUACUAUUAAUUCAUCACUUACACAUUUUUUUUUGGCACAGUUAAUAAAAAACCCUUGUAGAAAGCAUUUGGCUUUAACCCUAAAUUUAUUUCAUCAAGUUUAUUCAAACUCUUUUAGAAUAUUUCACUUGUUGAUAUACAUUAUUUAUAUUUGAUUUAAUUACUCCAUUGUCAUAUGUAAGAUUUAUGUGGAUAAUUUCCUUUUUAUACUCCCCUAUUUAUGACAGCUUUUUCCUACUUUAGUUGAUAAUUCUUUUAAGUUAAUUGAUAGUUGUUUUAUUCAAAGAUAAUGCUUCACCUUAUAUUAUAUAUAUUCAAUUAAGACUAACUUUGUAUAGUUAAAUUAUUUGGCUUUAAUUGUAAGUCGAAGUUUUCCUUUAUGCUCUAUUUUGAACCCAAUUCUUGCGAUCAAACCCCAAAAAGGAUUUUUGUUUAUUAACUUACUUUGCAUAUCUUGUUGUAUAUAUAUUACAACAAAUGAAACGGUCAUGUUUUGAAUAUUUACUCGCUACAUGACAAUUGUAUUGGCUACUCCUUGAUAGAAAUCCUUUGUGAUGUAGUUAAUCAUUCUUUUGAGCCUUCCCUCCUGUAUUUGAUCGAAUCGAUCGGAACCAUAUUUUGUAGGUGUUGAAGGAAGCCUAAUACCUUCCCCUCGAGAUGACUUGAACCUUUACUCUGGAUCUCAAUUGUUUCGCAAACUAUAUUCAAGGUAUACAUUAUGCAGUGUAGUAUAAGCGUCUUAGUAUACCUUAAAUACUAGGUGGCGACUCUAAACUCCAAUUAACCUUGUAGAAUAUUAUAAAUUGUACAUUAUUUUGACUCAUGCAAAAUAGAGUGCAACAACAACUGGCGACUCUAACCAUUGGUCAAGUUGAGGUUUUGAAUGAGGAUGUGAAGCCCAUUUUGGAGAAGCACAAGUAGGAAGGAUUGGGAUAGCAAGCUAGAUGACGCUAUGUGGGCAUAUAGCACUGCAUACAAAACUCCAAUUGGCACUUCACCGUACAGUUUCAAUAUCAAGAAGCUCAACUUUGAUAUGGAUCUAACUUGGGAAAAACAAAUAUUGCAACUUAAUGAGCUCGAAGAGUCUCAAUUGCACGCAUAUGAGAAUGCGAAGUUAUAUGAAGAUGAAACAAGAAAUGGCAUGACAAAUUGCAUCAUGAGAUCGAACCAUGUCAAGCCGUUCUAUUGGUCAUUUCAAGGUUGAAGCUCUUUCCUGGGGAGCUCAAGUCUAGAUGGUCGGGUCCAUUUGAAGUAGUGCGGGCUUCGAAGCAUGGAGUUGUUGAGCUAUGGGAUCCCGAAAGUGAAGGUACAUUUUUAGUCAAGAGGCAGAGAGUUUAAAACUAUUGGGGUGGUGGUGUGCGUCAUCACAAAACUUCGAUCGACUUGGUGAAUGCUUGAAGGAAUAUUUUGCGCUGUGCCGCAACGUUAAAUCAGGCACUUCAUGGGAGGUAACCCAUUGUGAUAUUGUACUUGUCAUGCCACGAUGUUAACUAAGGCGCUUUUUGGGAGGCAACCCAAUUCAUAGUAUAGUUUAGCUUAAUUGGCUUUUUAUUUUUAAUUAUAAGUACUAACAAGUCUUUAGUUGAAUUUUGGUAUUUGAAAAGGUACGCGAGCAUGUAAGAGGUCAAAUAAAUUCAGGAAGGAGUCCAAAACACAAAGGACCUCAUGUGCCGCCUAGUCCAUCAUGCGCCCUAUCUCGCCCUAUCUCGCCCUAUAGAUGGCGUUGCGCAGCCAAAUGCACGCCUUAUCUUGUGCCUCACCAGGUGUCUCCUGAUCUACAUCACACUCCAAAUGUAACGACCUAGCCGGUCGUUUUGAGAAUUUGCAUUUUGCUCAACUAUUUGAAGUCUUGAGUAUCUUCAUAUGAUAUAUUAUGACUUGUGUGAAUCAUCGCUUUUGGUUUUCUGGUGAUUCGAGAUUAAUUUGGAGGAAUGAUAUUUCAACUAGGAAGCUUUAAGUUGGAAAAAGUUGACCAAGUAUGACUUUUGUGUAUUUUACCUCAGAUCGGAAUUUUGAUAGUUCCGUUACGUCCAAAUGGUGAUUUGGACUUAGGGAUAUGCCCGGAUUUGCAUUUGCAUCUCUAGAAGGUUUUGGCACUAUUUGGCGAAAGUUGGCCAUUUGAAGGUUUAAAAAGUUCAUAAGUUUGACCGAUAGUUGACCUUGAUGAUAUCGGGUUCGAAUUAUUAUUCUGUGAGUUGGAAUAUGUUUGUUAUGUCAUUUGAAACUUGUGUGCAAAAUUUGAGGUCAUUCCGAGUUGAUUUGAUAUGGUUCGGCACGAGUUUUGGAAAUUGAAAGUUCAAAAGUUCAUAAAGCUUGAUUUCUUGUUAUGUGAGAUUUGAGGCCUCGAGUAGGUCCGUGUUAUAUGUUGGGACAUGUUGUCACGUUCGGAUGGGGUCCCGAGGGGAUCGGGUGAGUUUCGGAUCAUUUCCAUGUUCUUUGGCACUACUGGUUUUUUGUGUUUCAAUUAUUCUUCACGAUCGCGAAGAUUAGGUCACGAUCAUAUAGUGUAUUAUGGGUAUUUCCUUUAUCGUGUUCACGAAAUGUAAAUCACGUUCGCGUACCUUUUUCAGGCCUGAGCAUCGCGUUCGCAUCAGUUAGAUCGCAUUCGCAUAUGGUUGAGUUGAGAGCUGGGGCUGGAGGAUUUUCUCUUCGUGUUCGAGAUUAUAGGUCAUGUUCGCAUAGUCUUAUAUGAGCAGUGCAUCACGCUCGCGUGGUAUAUGUCAUGAACGUCAUUUUUGGAUCCAUUACUUUUUUGCUUCACGAUCGCGAAGGAAUUCCCACGAUCGUGAAGGGUACCCCUGGAGCAUUGUAUAUAAUACUCUAUUUCGAAGGUUUCAGAUAUUUUACCAUAUUUGAGCUAUAGAUUUAAGUUAUUUUAGCAAUUUUGGAGGCGAUUUUCACCACAUAGAUUGGGGUAAGUGUUUUCUACUCGGUUUUAAUUAUAUUUUGUGAUUCCAUCUUCGUUUUUGACAUUUGAUUGAUGAUUUCAAAAGAGAAAUUGGGGUUUUAGUCUAAACUUUCCUAAAGUGAAUUUUUGAGUUUUGAAUACUGAUAUCGAGUCGGAAUUGAGUGAAAUUAAUGUGGUUGAACUCGUAUUGAAUGGCUUGUCGGAUUUUGUGUGUUUUGUCGUGUUCCGAGGUGCGGGCUCAGGUUUGACUUUAUGGUUGACUUUGAGUAUUUGAUUAAAGAUUCAACCUUUAUCAUUUGGGAUUGUUUCCUUGGCAUGAUUUGAUAUUUUUGAGUUGCUUUUGGCUAGUUUCGAGCCAUUCGGAGGUUGAUUUGCACGGGAUGGAAUUUCUAGAGUAUUGUUUGUCUUCCUCAGUAUUCGAUUUGGCCUGUUCGAGGUAAGUAACUUAUCUAAACUUGGAUUUGAGGGUUAAUAUCCUUUAGAACUAUGAUAAUUGAGAUGGGUUAGGGGUGACACACGUGCUAUGUGUUGGGCGCGGGUGCGUGCACCGAGGUAUUCAUGGUGCAGGUAGUUCUUAGGCUAUUACAUGCCUUGUUUUGCUAUCAUGCUUCUUUGAUAUCAUGUUUUCCACAUUUAUGUGACUACGUGGAUAUUAUUCAUGUUAGAAAUCAUGUCUAAGCUACUUGUUCAAUUGUUUGAGACGCAAUAGGACUAUUUUUUCCAUGUUGAGCUAUUGGCCUUAGCCGUAGGCACUUUUGAUAUGCUGUCACACAUGUUAUUGGUGUCCUUGUACGUGACACAAGUUUGGAUAGUAUUUUAGGCAUACUGUGAUACUCUAUGUUAUAAUCAUGUUUCUGUGAGAUGUUUGCACAUUGAGACGUGAGCGGAUUGAUGACUGAUGUGGGCCAUAGAUCCGUAUUUAUAUUGAUAUUUGGAUCGAGUUGCACGCCGUAAUGGUUAUAUUGAUAUUGAGGUGACUCGUAUGCUAGGCCCCACAUUGGAUUAAGCUAUACUGAUUUGAGGCUACGUGGGCACCAGCCCCACCAUUUGGGCUAAGUGAUUAUGAUUAGCGCUUGGGUAGGAUCCGCCCCUCCAGAGUCUGACAUGUUAGCAGUGAGCGCAGGAGAAGUAUUUCAUAUGCGUGCUUUGAUAAUGGGCAGUUAUGCUAGACACCCGUACAGUGCUAAGUGUGAUUAUUGUGAUGGAUCCAUGGUGAUAUUGUUGGGGCAUUUGAGCCAGGCACCUGAAGUGUGCUAUGAUUGUGUGUGCUUAAUUAGUGCACUAUGAAACUGAGUUCUUGACAUGUAUAUCAGAUAUGUAGGCAUAGAGAUGUACUUUCCUUAUGCGAGACAGUGACAUGAUAUCUGAUGAUUUGACAUCUAUAUUGGACAUGUAGGUAUAGAUAUGUACCUUCUCAUGCUAGGUAGUAACAUGACAUAUGAUUACUUGACAUGUAUAUUUAACAUGUAGGCAUAGAAAUGCAUUUUUCUCAUGGUAACUGGUAAAUAAAAAGUCUUAUCUGAUGUUGUAAAUUGGGAAAACAUAGUUAUUUUGAUAAACUCAUAUCUAGUUGAUUUCAGUGGUAAGAUCUAGAGUAGGACUGCUAUACUUGAAAAACAUGUCCACUUUGUCGUAUCCGUGAAUGAGUUGGGCAUUACAUCACCUGAGUUAUAUACUUUUACUAUGAUCACUAUACUGUUAUGAACUAUUAUUGGCUAUUGAUGCUGGACUCCAACUAUCUUCCGAGAUCGUCAUUGCUUUCAACCUAAGUUUAGGUUUGUUACUUAUUGAGUACAUGGGAUCGAUUGUACUCAUACUACACUUCUGCACCUUGUAUGUAGAUUUUGGAGCUGAUGUUGCUAUGUAUAGCGGUAGUUGGCAUUGAAGAUAUACCCGACAUCUCAGUUAUAGUUGCCUCUUGUUCUUGGUAGCUCUAAUAUUUAUAAAUCUGUUAAUGUAUAUUUCGAACAGAUGAUGUAUCUAUUUCAUACCAUCUUUGUAAAUUCUAAGUCUUCGAAGCUCAUGACAUGUACUACUAAUCCUUGGGAUUUUGUAUAGAAAGCUUAGUUAUUUUAUUUAUUGAUUUCUGGUAUCCUAUUUGAGUUGUGUUGUCUAUAUUUUGUCUUACCUAGAGGGUUGGGUUAACUUCCAUCAUGACUAGCUAGAUUUUUGGGUCGUGAUAAAACCCAACGUCGCCUACUCUUUUGUGCGGUAUGCCUCGCAUCCCAGCUCACGAGGCCAGGAGAGAUUUUUUUCUUUUCUUAUUUUAAAACCCUCACACCCAUUUUUAAAACCCACACACAAAAUAAAACAUAACACACGCACACAACACAAAAGAAAACAACACACACGACCAAACCCUUCACAAAACACAAUGCCUUCCCCAUCCAUCCUAUCUUCCUCUCAACCAAAUUCUCCAACUCACAUCUCACACAAACUGUAACGACUUGGCCAGUUGUUCUGAGUAUUUUAGCCCCAUCCCUUAUUUAUUGCCUCCUCUAUGUUGUAUUACAGUUAUGUGUUUUUCUGGAAUGUUUGGUUUUAGUUUCGGGUGAGUUUCGAGUGAAAUGGGACACAUAGUCCCUAAGUCGGAGGCUUAAGUUGAAAGAGUUGACCGCUGUUUGACUUUUAUGUAGAUGACUCUGGAAUGGAGUUUUGACUAUUCAAAUAGCUUUGUAUGGUGAUUUUGGACUUAGGAGUGUGUCCAUAUAUUGAUUGGAGGUCCGUAGGUUAUUUCACCUUGUAUUGGCUGAAAUUUAGGAAGUUGAAGGUUUGAAAGGUUGGGAAGUUUGACCGGGAGUUGACUUUAUUGAUAUCGGGGUCGAAUUCUAAUUCUAAAAGUUGGAAUAGGACCGUCAUGUCAUUUAUGACUUAUGUGCAAAAUUUGAAGUCAAUCAGAGUUAUUUUGGUAUGAAUUGGCAUUAGUUUGGGAACUUGGAAGUUCAUAGUUUCACUAGGCUUGAAUUGGGUUGCGAUUCGUAGAAUCAAUGUUGUUUGAUGUGGUUUUAGUUCUCGAGUAGGUUCGUUAUGUGUUUUGCGACUCGUUGGUAUAUUCGGACAGGGUCCCGGUUGUUAUUCGGAUUGAAUCCGAAUCAAAUUUGGACUUGUGUAAUUGCUGAAGCUUGGUUGGGUCUGGUGCAAUCACACCUGAGCAUUUGGGGCCGCAAGUGCACCACAACAGAAGCAACCUUAGAGUUGCAGAAGCGAGUUUGGCCCUGCCCAGUUGGGACAGCAGAUGUAUUUAGUGCUCCGUAGAUGUGGGCGCAUAAGCGAGCGAACAGAAGCGGAUUCUCAAGACUUAAGUCAUGGCCGUACCUACGAUGAAAUUCCCGCAAGCGCGGAGCUGCAGAAGCGGCUGUUGGCAAAAGCGAAAUUGCUGGGCAGAAAUUGGGAUUUUUUGAGGGUUAAUUUCAUUACCCAUUUUUGGACCAAGAGAGCAUGGUUUGUGGCGAUUUUUCGAGAAACUUUCAAGAAAUUCAUCGGGGUAAGAGGUUCUAACUCGGUUUUGGUUAUAUUACACGAAUUCAUUGUUAUUUACAUCAUAUAAUUUGUGAUUUGAGUUGGAAAUUUUGGGGAAAUUUUUGAAAACGUAUUAGACUAAAUUUUGAGGUUUUGAAAGGCGAUUUGAGGUCGGAUUUGAGUAAUUCUUAUAUGGUUGGACUCGUAUCGAAUAGGUGCUCGGAUUUUGUAAUUUUGGCCAGGUUCCGAGACGCAGGCCUGGGGUUGACUUUUUGAGUUGACUUUUUAUUUCUUUUUAAAAAUCGUAACUUUAUUGUUCAAAAUAGUUUCCUAUAGCUUAUAUUCAUGGAAUGAAUUUGUUUUGGCUAGAUUCAAGCCGCUUGGAUUUUGGAUAAUCGAGGGAAAGCCUUACUGGUGGAUUGAGUUAGCAUGUUUUGAGGUAAUUGUCUUGCCUAACUUUGUGUGAGGGAAUUACCCCUUAGAAUUUGGUGUUGUUGUGUUAAUUGUGAUAUGUGAAAAUCGUGUACGUAAGGUGACGAGUGUUUACAUGGUCUAAAUAUGGUAAUUUACAGGUUCUAGCUAUGUAAAUUCACUUCAUGCCUUUAAUUGAGUUAUCAUAAUAGGUUAUAUUCAUCAUCUUUAGUCUAUCAUGAUUUACUUGUCUUACCUCUCACCUGUUAAUUUCCUUUACAUGCCUAAUCGAAAUUAUUGUUUCCACUAUUAUGUAUUCAUUAUUUAACCAUUGAGUUCCUUACUUGAAAUUGUUAAUUCAUGGAAUAUCUUGUUGUUGAAAUGGUAUUGAGCUAUAAAGGUCGUGAUUCACAUUGAGGCAAGGUUGUUAAGUUGUGAAAUAUUAUUCUUGUUGAGUUAUUCAUUGUUGGUUGUUAUUAUUGACACUCUUGUGCAUAUUGUGGUUGAGUUAUGGGAUAUUUAUUGUGGAAACACCAUUAAUUUUGAUUUCUUUGACAAGUUGUGAUAUUGAGAACUUGAGGUGCAAUUUGUAAUAUGUUGUGAUAUUGAUACUUAUGCGGUGGUAUAAGGCUUGGGGUUGAAACACAUGCGCUAAGAUAAGGUGGGCUUGAUACGCGUGUUUAUAGUAAAGGAACUACUUGAAGUCACGUGGUAUGAUAAGGUGGGCUAAAACACAGGAUGCUAUUUUGGGAAAAAUGAUUUUCAAAACUAAAUGCAAGGCUCCCACAGUGAUAUAAGGAAAGAUCGCGAAAUGUUUUGUGAAUUAAGACUGCAAAGCGGUACCUCAAUAGUGAUUCUUGUUGUUACUUUUCUAUUAUUGCACUAGUGUUUUGUUGGUUUGUUCCGUGUCAUAGCAUUUCUUAUUUUUCUUUUAUGAUGCAUUAUUUGCCGAAGUUCAGUGUAGCUUAUCUUGGUGUAUUUGUGUAAUGUCUCAUUUCUAUUGUUAUCAUUAUUUCAUUGUUAUAUUCCUAUUCAAUAUGUUAUUUAUUCCUGCAGGACCUUCACCUGACCUUGUCACUACUCUACUGAGGUUAGACUAGGUACUUACUAGGUACCAUUGUGGUAUACUCAUGUUAUGCUUCUGUACAUCUUUUUGUGCAGAUUCAGAUAGCUCAUAUCAGUCCAGGCACCACGGAGAUGAGCCUUGUUCAGAGACUUCAAGUUAUACUUGCCGACGUUCGUAGGCCUCGGAGUCACCCUCUAUCUAGUCUAUUCCAUUUUCUUUCCUUUAUAUUAGACAUUUACAUAUAGGGAUGUUUAGCACUGUCUGUAGAUCUUGUGACUUGUCAUCACCAGAUUUUGGAAAGUUGCUUAUGUUGACUUGCAAAGUUUUUUUUAUAAUAGUUGCUGAGUAAUUGAUAGUUUUAUCGUUGUUUCACAUAUAUUCUACAUGUAUGUUUGUCUUACCUAGUCUUAGAGACUAGGUGUCAUCACGACAUCCUACGAAGAGAAAUUGGGAUCGUGAUAAAUUGGUCUUAGAGAUCUAGGUUCAUAGGUAUUAUGACAGAGACAUCUAUACUUAUCUUCGGGACGAUAUGGAAUUGUUAGGAAAAGAUUCAUUUCUUUAGUUCCCUGUUGUGAGAAUUUGUUGACUUCGAAUUCUAAAUCAUUAUCUUUUUAUUCUCUCACAGAUGGUAAGGACACGCAUAGUUGGAUCUGAUGAUCAGACACCCAUGCCCUCUACUAGAGAUGCAAGAGGCUGGGGCCAGGGUAGAGGCUAAGGACGAGCACGUGGUGCAGCCAGAGCACCUACCAGAGUUGCGAUAAAAGAGAUGCCAGUAACUAUAGUUGGGGGGGGGCAGGCACCUGAGAUGCCUGUUACUGCCCCUGCACUUCAGGAGACCCUCGCCCAUUUUUUUAGCAUGUUUAGCACUCUAGCUCAGACGAGGAUGAUUACACUUUCUCCCACCAAAUCUCAAGCAGGGGGAGGAGCACAAACUCCAGCUGCCCGUACCUCAAAGCAACGGGUUCAGGUUGACCAAGAACUAGAGGUCAUACUAAUGCAGACGGUUGUCCCAGUCUAGCCCGAAAUCAGGGCAACAAUAUCUGAGGUGGAGCAGCUUAAGCUCGAUAGGUACAAGAAGUACCGCCCUCAUACUUUCAGCGACUUAACUUCAUAGGAUGCACGAGGUUUUCUUGAGGUUUGCCACUGUAUCCUCCAUACUAUGGGCAUUGUGGAGUCGAGUAGGGUUGCUUUCACUACAUUUAAGCUUAAGGGAGAAGCUUAUUAGUGGUGGUGGGCGUAUGAGUUAGGUAGCCCAGCCGAGGUGGCUUCACUCACCUGAGCGUAGUUUUCAAAGAUGUUCAUGAGGGAGUUUGUUCCCCAGAGUCUUUGGGAUGCAUGGCGCACAGAGUUUAAGCAGUUGCAAUAGGGUGUUAUGACUGUAUCAGAGUAUGCUAUCAAGUUCAGUGAGUUGUCCAGACAUGCACUGGCAUUAGUUUCUACUUUCAGAUAGUGAGUCCGUCAAUUUAUCGAGGGGCUCAACCAUGGUAUUAGAUUCAGCAUGUCUUGAGAGUUGGUGACUGAUACCCCAUACCAAUAGGUGGUGGAGAUCGCUCAGAGAUUGGAGGGUAUGUGGGGUUAGGAGAGAGAGGAUAGGGAGGCCAAGAGGCCUUGAGAUUCUAGCACAUAUAGUGGUGCCCAUGCCCUAGUUACAGCUCGUCAUGGUAGAGGAAAUAUGAGCCCUAUUAAUUCAGCACUCAUAGCUUCCAGCAGUAUUCUGGCUACUCCUAGACCUCAAGUUGCCCAUUAUGCACAGCCACUGUCUAGUGCACCUCCUGCACGGGGUGCUUUUAGUGGUCAGUCCAACCGACCAGGCCCGAGCUAGUUUCAACAGCCAUAUCCCCCAAGAGUUUGUUUUAAGUGUGGUGAUGCUCUUCAUAUGGUGAGGGACUGCCCUCGACUUAGGAGGGGUACACCUCUACAUACUACUCAAGCACCACGUAUUCCAUAGGGUCCUCAGUCUUCUCAGACCGUGGUUACCACACCAGUUGCCAGUCCACAUACAUAGUCAGCUCGAGGUGAAGGUCGGGCGGGUAGGGGUCACCCUAGAGGGGGAGGCUAGGCCAGAUUUUAUGCUCUUCCGACUAGGAUGGAGGCAGUUGUAUCAGACUCGGUCAUCACAUAUAUUGUUCUAGUUUGUCAUAGAGAUGCAUCAGUAUUAUUUAAUCCAGGCUCAACUUAUUCCUAUGUAUCAUCUUACUUUUCUCCAUAUUUGGGUAUAUAUCUCGUGAUUUCUUGAAUUCUCCGUGUAUGUGUCCAUGCCCGUGGGAGAUUCUAUUGUUGUUAACCAUGCGUAUCGAUCAUGCUUAGUUGUUUUUGGUGGUUUUAAGACCAGAGAUAAUCUAUUAUUGCUAAAUAUGGAAGAUUUUGAUGUUAUUUUAGGGAUGGACUGGUUGUCUCCCUAUCAUGCUAUUCUUGAUUGUCACGCCAAGAUAAUGACAUUGGCUAUACUUGGUUUGCCACGAUUAGAGUGGAUAGGUACUUUGGAUUAUGUUCCUAGCAGGGUGGUGUCUUUCCUUAAGGCACAACGGAUGGUUGGAAGGGGUGUAAUGUAUAUCUAGCCUAUGUGAGGGAUGUCAGUAUUGAUAUUCCUGCCGUUGAGUCAGUUUCUGUAGUGAGAGACUAUCCAGAUAUAUUUUCCGCAGAUCUUCUAGGCAUUCUACCCGAUAGGGAUAUCGAUUUUGGUAUUGACUUGUUAUCGGGUACUCAGCCCAUUUCCAUUCCACCAUUUUGUAUGGCCCUGGCAGAGUUGAAAGAUUAAAGGAACUGUUGCAAUAAUUGCUUGAUAAGGGCUUUAUUUGGCCUAGGGCAUCUCCACGGGGUGCUUCGGUCUUAUUUGUAAAGAAUAAGGAUGGCUUUAUGCGCAUGUGUAUUGAUUAUCGACACUUGAACAAGGUUACAGUGAAGAACAUAUAUCAGCUGCCACACAUUAAUGACUUAUUUGAUCAACUAUAGGGUGUCAAGGUGUUCUCCAAGAUAGAUUUGCGGUCGGGUUAUCACCAGUUGAAGCUUCGGGAUCCGAAUAUUCUGAAGACUACCUUUAGGACUCGGUAUGGUCAUUAGGAGUUCCUUGUGAUGUCAUUUGGGCUGACCAAUGCCUCAGCAUCAUUCAUGCCCUCGAUGAACAGUGUAUUCCAGCCCUAUCUUGACUUAUUCAUCAUUGUGUUUAUUGAUGACAUCUUGGGGUACUCUUAGAGCCAGGAGGAUCAUGAGCAACACUUGAGGAUUAUGCUCCAAACCUAGAGAGAAAAAAAGUUGUAUGCAAAAUUUUCAAAGUGUGAAUUCUGGAAUGAUGCAGUGGCGUUUCUAGGUCAUGUAGUGCCGAGUGAGGGGAUCAAGGUAUAUACGACGAAGAUUGAAGUAGUGCAGAGUUGGCCCAGACUGUCUUCAGCUAUCGAGAUCCAGAGUUUUCUUGGUUUGGCAGGGUAUUACCGUCGAUUCAUAUAGGGUUUUUCAUCUGUUGUUGCACCUAUGAUCAGACUGAACCAGAAGGGUGCCACGUUUACGUGGACCGAGGAGUGUGAUGAGAGCUUUGAAAACCACAAGACGACUUUGACUAUUUCCCUAGUAUUGGUAUUGCCUAUGAGUUUGGGGUCUUACACAGUGGACUAUGAUGUGUCACGUGUUGGCCUCGGUACGGUGUUAAUGCAAGACGAUAGGAUGAUUGCCUACGCAUCUAGAUAGCUGAAGGCACAUGAGAAGAAUUAUCCUAUCCAUGACCUUGAGUUAGCAGCUAUUUUUCAUGGCUUGAAGUUUUGGCGACACUAUUUGUAUGGUGUCCCUUGUAAGGUCUAUACCGACCACCGGAGUCUACAGUAUUUGUUCAAAUAGAAGGAUCUUAACUUGCGGUAGCGGACAUUGUUAGAGUUCCUUAACGACUAUGAUAUCACCAUUCUAUAUUAUCCUUGAAAGACCAAUAUGGUGGUGGAUGCCUUGAGUCGUAAGGCAGAGAGCUUGGGUAGUUUAACAUAUCUACCGGCAGCGAAGAGGCCAUUAGCCUUGGAUUUUCAGGCCUUGACUAAUCAAUUUUUUAAAUUGUAUAUUUCAGAGUCGAGUCGAGUUUUGGCUUGUAUGGUUUCUCAGUCUUAUCUUUAUGAUCGUAUCAGAGAGUGUAAAUAUGACGACCCCCAUCUGUUUGUCCUCAAGGACACGGUUCAACACGACAAUGCCAAAAUGGUCACUAUUGGGGCUGAUGGGGUGUUAUAGAUGUAGGGCCAGCUAUGUAUGCCCAAUGUAGACGGGUUGCGUGAGUUGAUUCAUCAGGAGGCCCAUAUUUCACAGUACUCCAUUCAUUUGGUACCUGUAAGAUGUAUCAAGACUUGAGGCAACACUAUUGGUAGAUGAGGAUGAAGAAAGACAUUGUGGAGUAUGUAGCUCAGUGCCUAAAUUGUCAGCAUAUGAAGUAUAAGCAUCAGUGGCCAGGUGGAUUACUUCAGAGGCUAGAGAUUUCUGAGUAGAAAUAGGAGCGAGUUACCAUGGAUUUUGUUGUUGGGCUCCCACAGACUCAGAAGAAAUUUGACGCAGUAUGAGUGAUUGUGGAUAGGUUGACCAAGACGGCUCAUUUCAUUCUAGUGGUGACUACUUAUUCUUCAGAGUAGCUGGCUCAGUUCUAUAUUUGCAAGAUUGUCAGAUUUCAUGGCGUGCCGGUAUCCAUUAUAUCUGACCGAAGUAUGUAGUUUACAUCGCAAUUUUGGAAGGCCGUACAGUGUGAGUUGGGCACAUGGGUUUAGUUGAGUACAACAUUCCACCCUCAAAUGGACGAACAGUCUAGUGCACUAUCCAGAUAUUAGAGGAUAUGCUUCGUCCAUGUAUGAUAGAGUUCGGGGGUUCUUGGGAUCAUUUCUUGCCACUUGCGGAGUUUGCCUAUAACAAUAGCUACCAGUUAAGCAUUCAGAUGGCUCCGUAUAAGUCCUUGUGUAGGAGGCGGUGUCGGUCUCCAUUGGGUUGCUUUGAGCCAGGUAAGGCUAGGCUAUUGGGUGCUGAUUUGAUUUAGGAUGCUUAGAAAAAGGUUAAGUUGAUUCAGGAUCAACUUCGUAUAGCCUAAUCUAGAUAGAAGAGUUAUGCAGAUUGGACGAUUUGCGAUGUUGUGUUCAUGGUUGGAGAGUGAGUCUUGCUCCGGGUUUUACCCAUGAAGGGCGUUAUGAGGUUCGGGAAGAAGGAUGAGUUGAUCCCUAGAUACAUCAGACCUUUUGAUAUUCUUGAGAGGAUUGGAGAGGUGGCCUACAAACUGGCACUGCCACCUUGUAUAGCUUCCGUUCAUCCAGUAUUCCAUGUUUCUAUGCUCCAAAAGUACCACAGUGAUCCGUCUCAUGUGUUGGAUUUUAGCUCAGUCCAGUUGGACGAUAAUUUGUCUUAUGUUUAGGAGCCUGUGGCCAUUUUGGACAGGCGAGUCCGAAAGUUGAGGUCGAUGAGCAUUGCUUUAGUGAAGGUUCAGUGGAGGGUUCAACUAGUCAAGGAGGAAACUUGGAGACCAAGCAUGAUAUGCAUAGCUAUUAUCCUCAUCUUUUCACCACUUCAGGUAUGUCUCUAUACUCGUUCGAGGAUGAAUGUUUAUUUUAAGAGAGGGAGGAUGUAACGAUUCGACUGGUCGUUUUGAGUAUUUUAGGCCCAAUCCCCUAUAUUGCCUCUUAUAUGUUGUAUUACGGUUAUGUGUUUCGACAUGAUGUUUGGUUUUGGUUUUGGGUGAGUUUCAGAGUGAAGUGGGACACAUUAUCCCUAAUUCGGAGGCUUAAGCUGAAAGAGUUGACCGUAGUUUGACUUUUACAUAGAUGACUCCGGAAUAGAGUUUUGACUGUUCCAUUAGCUCUAUACGGUAUUUUGGACUUUGGAGCGUGUCUAGAUGUUGAUUGGAGGUCUGUAGGUCAUUUCGUCUUGUAUUGGCGAAGGUUAGGAAGUUGAAGAUUUGGAAGGUAGAGAAGUUUGACCAGGAGUUG
rnacentral:lncRNA from 1 species